rnacentral:rRNA from 1 species
AUAAUUUAGUUUUGAAAAAAAUUGGUUUUCACUUUUUUAAAAAAAAAUUUUCAUGUUUAAGUAAUUUUAUAUAAAAAAAUAGUUUAUAUUAACUGAAGGGGAAAGAUCUUGUAAAUAUUUUUAAGUAAAAUAUAAUUUGUACCUUUUGUAUCAGGGUUAAUUAAAUAAUUCUAAAAAUUUAUUUUUCCCGAAAUAUAAUGAUUUAGUUUAAUUUGUUAGUUAUUAUUGUAUAUAUAUUAAUAAAUUUAUUCUGGAAAUGAUAUUUUAUCAAAUUAUAUGAUAUCUGGUUUUUUGGGAAUUGAAUUUAAUUCAGAAGAAAUAUUAUAAUUAAUAUUUAAUUAUUNNNNNNNNNNNNNNNNNNNNNNNNNNNNNNNNNNNNNNNNNNNNNNNNNNNAUAAUAUAUUAAGUAAUAUUUAUAAUUUAGGCAAAAAUAAUUUUCACCUGUUUAUCAAAAACAUGUCUUUUAGAAUGAAUUAAAAGUCUAAUCUGCCCAAUGAUUUAAAAUUAAAUGGCCGCGGUAAAUUGACCGUGCAAAGGUAGCAUAAUAAAUAGUCUUUUAAUUGGAGGCUUGAAUGAAUGAUUGAAUGAGAAAUUAACUUAAUUAAUAUUAAUAAUUGAAAUUGAUUUUUAAGUAAAAAAGCUUAAAUAUUUGAGUGGGACGAGAAGACCCUAUAGAAUUUUAAAAAUUUUCUUGAGUUUAUUAUUUAUAGUUAAUUAAUUUUUUUUAUUUAAUUAAUUUUUUUGUUGGGGUGAUAUUAAAAUAUAAUUAACUUUUAAUUAAUAUUUCAUAAAUAUAUGUUAUUAUUGAUCCAAAUUUUUGAUUAUAAGAAUAAAUUACCUUAGGGAUAACAGCGUAAUUGAUUUGGAGAGUUCAUAUCGAUAAAUAAGAUUGCGACCUCGAUGUUGGAUUAAGAAUGGAAAUUGGAGCAAAAUUUAUUAUUUCUGGGUCUGUUCGACCUUUAAUAUUCUUACAUGAUCUGAGUUCAAACCGGCGUGAGCCAGGUUGGUUUCUAUCUACUUAAUUGUUUUUAAUGUUAGUACGAAAGGACCUCAUUAAAUAAUUUUAUUAU